AUUUUACUUUAAGUAUAUCAUAAACUCCAUGCCUGGGAAGUUUCAGCACAUUCUCAUUUCGGGAACAAUUACUGCGGAAUUACCUUAACUGAUAUUACUUGUGAAUAGUGUACAUAAUAGUAGAUAAGUAAAUCUUUAAUUGAGCUUGACGAUGAGAUGUUAGCUACUCUGAUGACCGCUGACACACUAGCCCACGCAUGAACCCUAAUCCCUGCAGUUCCAUCUCCCCUCCAGGUCCACGCCCCCCUCCCCCCUCCCGUUCCUCCCCCUCUCCCCUCUAUAUCCGACGUUCAUACCACAAAGGAUUUUUUCACGAGUGCGCAGAUUAUAUAUAAACGUAUCAUUUAGGCAAUGAUAAUUGCUUAUUGUCUGGGCUGGCUUUUUGAAAGUCGAGUAGCUUACACCUCUAGCUCAGAUAAAAUCCCGCAUAUUGGAACCGUGCAGAUUGUCAAGUCUGAAACCGUAAAGUCUGAAACCGUAAAGUCUGAAACUUGCCAUUUAGACACCCAUUUUUAUCAGGACCAAUUCAGCCUGAAAUUUGGAAAAGGUUCUAAUCAGUGGCUAGCUUCGCCAAUGGUUCUAAUAAUAGUUAUGUAAGUGAAAGUGUACUACUUGCACCUGAUUUCUAGAGUACAGACAUUAGGGUCAUGAAGUAC